GUAGGCCAUACUACCUUGAACACGCCUGAUCUCGUCUGAUCUCGGAAGCUAAGCAGGGUCAGGCCUGGUUAGUACUUGGAUGGGAGAACCCUGAGGUCAUUCA